rnacentral:lncRNA from 1 species
UAGGUGGUUGAGAAGUGAUUCCUCUGGAAGGUAAAGUUACUGAUGGAACUGAAGGGAGGACAUGAAAGAGUCAAGGAUGACUCCAAGACUUUCGACCUGAGUGAUUCAAAGGAUGGAGUUACCAUCAGGUGAAAUGCGGGAAAGUUCAGAUGGAACAAAUCUGAGAGGAGACCCUAAACUUGGCCAUGAUGGUAAAGGAUGCAAGGACAAUCCUCCAAAUAUUUUCCAGGUAGCUUGAUUGCUACCAACAAGGUGAGCCAUUUAGAUAAAUGGGAAUUUUUAUGCCUGUUAAUAUUUCCAG